CGGGCGUGGCGCCGGUCUAAGUUCCUUGGAACGGGGCGUCAUAGAGGGUGAGAAUCCCGUAUGUGACCGGUGACCAGGCUCUAUGUGAAACUCCUUCGACGAGUCGAGUUGUUUGGGAAUGCAGCUCAAAAUGGGUGGUAAAUUUCAUCUAAAGCUAAAUACCGGCCAGAGACCGAUAGCGCACAAGUAGAGUGAUCGAAAGAUGAAAAGCACUUUGGAAAGAGAGUCAAAAAGUACGUGAAAUUGUUGAAAGGGAAGCGCUUGCAACCAGACCUGCCCGCGGACGAUCAGCCGUCCCUUCUAGGGCGGUGCACGCGCUCGCGAACAGGCCAGCAUCGGUUCGGGCGGUCGGAUAAAGGCCUUGGGAACGUAGCUCCUCUCGUGGAGCAUUAUAGCCCUCGGCGUAAUGCGGCCUGCCUGGAUCGAGGAUCGCGCUUCGGCUAGGAUGCUGGCGUAAUGGUUGUAAGCGGCCCGUCUUGAAACACGGACCAAGGAGUCUAACAUCUAUGCGAGUGUUUGGGCGUUAAACCCAUACGCGUAAUGAAAGUGAACGGAGGUAGGAACCCACGAGGGCGCACUAUCGACCGAUCCUGAUGUCUUCGGAUGGAUUUGAGUACGAGCAUAGCUGUUGGGACCCGAAAGAUGGUGAACUAUGCCUGAAUAGGGUGAAGCCAGAGGAAACUCUGGUGGAGGCUCGCAGCGGUUCUGACGUGCAAAUCGAUCGUCAAAUUUGGGUAUAGGGGCGAAAGACUAAUCGAACCAUC
rnacentral:rRNA from 1 species